GGUUAAGCGACUAAGCGUACACGGUGGAUGCCCUGGCAGUCAGAGGCGAUGAAGGGCGUGCUAAUCUGCGAUAAGCGCCGGUAAGGUGAUAUGAACCGUUAUAACCGGCGAUACCCGAAUGGGGAAACCCAGUGUGACUCGUCACACUAUCAUUAACUGAAUCCAUAGGUUAAUGAGGCGAACCGGGGGAACUGAAACAUCUAAGUACCCCGAGGAAAAGAAAUCAACCGAGAUUCCCCCAGUAGCGGCGAGCGAACGGGGAGGAGCCCAGAGCCUGAAUCAGCAUGUGUGUUAGUGGAAGCGUCUGGAAAGGCGCGCGAUACAGGGUGACAGCCCCGUACACAAAAGCGCAUGUGCUGUGAGCUCGAUGAGUAGGGCGGGACACGUGGUAUCCUGUCUGAAUAUGGGGGGACCAUCCUCCAAGGCUAAAUACUCCUGACUGACCGAUAGUGAACCAGUACCGUGAGGGAAAGGCGAAAAGAACCCCGGCGAGGGGAGUGAAAAAGAACCUGAAACCGUGUACGUACAAGCAGUGGGAGCACCCUUUGGGGUGUGACUGCGUACCUUUUGUAUAAUGGGUCAGCGACUUAUAUUCUGUAGCAAGGUUAACCGUAUAGGGGAGCCGCAGGGAAACCGAGUCUUAACCGGGCGUUAAGUUGCAGGGUAUAGACCCGAAACCCGGUGAUCUAGCCAUGGGCAGGUUGAAGGUUGGGUAACACUAACUGGAGGACCGAACCGACUAAUGUUGAAAAAUUAGCGGAUGACCUGUGGCUGGGGGUGAAAGGCCAAUCAAACCGGGAGAUAGCUGGUUCUCCCCGAAAGCUAUUUAGGUAGCGCCUCGUGAAUUCAUCUCCGGGGGUAGAGCACUGUUUCGGCUAGGGGGCCAUCCCGGCUUACCAACCCGAUGCAAACUGCGAAUACCGGAGAAUGUUAUCACGGGAGACACACGGCGGGUGCUAACGUCCGUCGUGAAGAGGGAAACAACCCAGACCGCCAGCUAAGGUCCCAAAGUCAUGGUUAAGUGGGAAACGAUGUGGGAAGGCCCAGACAGCCAGGAUGUUGGCUUAGAAGCAGCCAUCAUUUAAAGAAAGCGUAAUAGCUCACUGGUCGAGUCGGCCUGCGCGGAAGAUGUAACGGGGCUAAACCAUGCACCGAAGCUGCGGCAGCGACGCUGAUGCGUUGUUGGGUAGGGGAGCGUUCUGUAAGCCUGCGAAGGUGGCCUGUGAGGGUUGCUGGAGGUAUCAGAAGUGCGAAUGCUGACAUAAGUAACGAUAAAGCGGGUGAAAAGCCCGCUCGCCGGAAGACCAAGGGUUCCUGUCCAACGUUAAUCGGGGCAGGGUGAGUCGACCCCUAAGGCGAGGCCGAAAGGCGUAGUCGAUGGGAAACGGGUUAAUAUUCCCGUACUUGGUGUUACUGCGAAGGGGGGACGGAGAAGGCUAUGUUGGCCGGGCGACGGUUGUCCCGGUUUAAGCGUGUAGGUGUGUGUUCCAGGUAAAUCCGGUUCACUUUAACACUGAGGCGUGACGACGAGGCACUACGGUGCUGAAGCAACAAAUGCCCUGCUUCCAGGAAAAGCCUCUAAGCAUCAGGUAACAUCAAAUCGUACCCCAAACCGACACAGGUGGUCAGGUAGAGAAUACCAAGGCGCUUGAGAGAACUCGGGUGAAGGAACUAGGCAAAAUGGUGCCGUAACUUCGGGAGAAGGCACGCUGACACGUAGGUGAAGUGAUUUACUCAUGGAGCUGAAGUCAGUCGAAGAUACCAGCUGGCUGCAACUGUUUAUUAAAAACACAGCACUGUGCAAACACGAAAGUGGACGUAUACGGUGUGACGCCUGCCCGGUGCCGGAAGGUUAAUUGAUGGGGUCAGCGCAAGCGAAGCUCCUGAUCGAAGCCCCGGUAAACGGCGGCCGUAACUAUAACGGUCCUAAGGUAGCGAAAUUCCUUGUCGGGUAAGUUCCGACCUGCACGAAUGGCGUAAUGAUGGCCAGGCUGUCUCCACCCGAGACUCAGUGAAAUUGAACUCGCUGUGAAGAUGCAGUGUACCCGCGGCAAGACGGAAAGACCCCGUGAACCUUUACUAUAGCUUGACACUGAACAUUGAGCCUUGAUGUGUAGGAUAGGUGGGAGGCUUUGAAGUGUGGACGCCAGUCUGCAUGGAGCCGACCUUGAAAUACCACCCUUUAAUGUUUGAUGUUCUAACGUGGACCCGUAAUCCGGGUUGCGGACAGUGUCUGGUGGGUAGUUUGACUGGGGCGGUCUCCUCCUAAAGAGUAACGGAGGAGCACGAAGGUUGGCUAAUCCUGGUCGGACAUCAGGAGGUUAGUGCAAUGGCAUAAGCCAGCUUGACUGCGAGCGUGACGGCGCGAGCAGGUGCGAAAGCAGGUCAUAGUGAUCCGGUGGUUCUGAAUGGAAGGGCCAUCGCUCAACGGAUAAAAGGUACUCCGGGGAUAACAGGCUGAUACCGCCCAAGAGUUCAUAUCGACGGCGGUGUUUGGCACCUCGAUGUCGGCUCAUCACAUCCUGGGGCUGAAGUAGGUCCCAAGGGUAUGGCUGUUCGCCAUUUAAAGUGGUACGCGAGCUGGGUUUAGAACGUCGUGAGACAGUUCGGUCCCUAUCUGCCGUGGGCGCUGGAGAACUGAGGGGGGCUGCUCCUAGUACGAGAGGACCGGAGUGGACGCAUCACUGGUGUUCGGGUUGUCAUGCCAAUGGCACUGCCCGGUAGCUAAAUGCGGAAGAGAUAAGUGCUGAAAGCAUCUAAGCACGAAACUUGCCCCGAGAUGAGUUCUCCCUGAGACUUAAAGUCUCCUGAAGGAACGUUGAAGACGACGACGUUGAUAGGCCGGGUGUGUAAGCGCAGCGAUGCGUUGAGCUAACCGGUACUAAUGAACCGUGAGGCUUAACCUU
rnacentral:rRNA from 1 species